rnacentral:rRNA from 1 species
GUGGGGAAUCUUCCGCAAUGGACGAAAGUCUGACGGAGCAACGCCGCGUGAGUGAAGAAGGUUUUCGGAUCGUAAAGCUCUUUCGUUAGGGACGAACGUGCUCUUUGUGAAUAAUGAGGAGUAAUGACGGUACCUAAAUAAGAAGCCACGGCUAACUACGUGCCAGCAGCCGCGGUAAUACGUAGGUGGCAAGCGUUGUCCGGAAUUAUUGGGCGUAAAGCGCGCGCAGGCGGGAUAUCAAGUCUGUCUUAAAAGUGCGAGGCUCAACCUCGUGAGGGGACAGAAACUGGUAUUCUUGAGUGUCAGAGAGGAAAGUGGAAUUCCAAGUGUAGCGGUGAAAUGCGUAGAGAUUUGGAAGAACACCAGUGGCGAAGGCGACUUUCUGGACGAUGCCUGACGCUGAGGCGCGAAAGCUAGGGGAGCGAACGGGAUUAGAUACCCCAGUAGUCC